AGAGAGAGAGUUCAAGAGUACGUGAAACCGUUCAGGGGUAAACCUGAGAAACCCAAAAGAUCGAAUGGGGAGAUUCAUCGUCAGCGGCUCUGGCUUCCGUGCGGCGUGCGAUGGCGGGGACUUCGGUCUCGCGCCACGCCGUCGCUGCGGCAUGUCUGGAGUCGUCGUCGUGCACUUCUCCCCUAGUAGGACGUCGCGACCCGUUGGGUGUCGGAUCGAUGACCGGUCGGUCGUCUGUUGCGCUUGCGCUUCAGACCGAUUCGGUCGAAAGUCCGGCUGCCCGGCGGUAUUGAAAGUUUUAAUCUGGUAUCGGGCCGCAUCGAAUGCGUUCUGGCUCGUCGGCAGGCUCGUCUCGCUCGGAUUUACGGACCUAGUGCCGUUGCCGGGUGCUUGGCGCGGCUGUUAGUCGAUGAUGUCCUCGAACUGGCUCUUACCGGUCGGCGACGCUACUGCUUUGGGUACUUUCAGGACCCGUCUUGAAACACGGACCAAGGAGUCUAACAUGUGCGCGAGUCAUUGGGACUUUGAAGCCUAAAGGCGCAAUGAAAGUGAAGGUCGUCCUUAGUGUCGACCGAGGGAGGAUGGCUCGCGUCACGAUGCGAGCCCGCACUCCCGGGGCGUCUCGUGCUCAUUGCGAGCAGAGGCGCACCCAGAGCGUACACGUUGGGACCCGAAA
rnacentral:rRNA from 1 species